AUGAUUUACGAUCGAAAGUAAAUUACAUAUUACAACAAUUACAGAAUGAUAGACUAGACAUUGGAAUAACUUUCUUAAAUUGUGUGAAAUCAUUCAAAAGUCAAAACGUCAAGUAAAAAAAAUACGGAGAGUUUAUGUGUUGGUUACAUGUCUGCUCGUUUUCUGAUACUAAUUAUAACAUUCAAGUAAAAGAAAAUAUUUUACAGUACUACACAUAAACUGUAAAAUAUUUUCCAAAGGGUUUUAAAGUCCAGUUAUAAUUAGUAUCAGAAAACGAGCAGACAUGUAACCAACACAUAAACUGUAAAACCAUUUUGGGUUUCGGGAGUUCCAACCAUAAAUUAUUUAUAGUCAGUGAAAUCAAUUUUGACUUUUGGAUGAUAAAUAAGAACUAACAAACAGAAACAGAGCAAGAAGAAUAACCACAUAAUCAACUCUAAACCCUAAACUCUAAACUCUAAACCCUAAAUCCUAAACCCCA
rnacentral:lncRNA from 1 species